rnacentral:rRNA from 1 species
UACGUAGGGGGCAAGCGUUGUCCGGAUUUAUUGGGCGUAAAGAGCGUGUAGGCGGUUUGGUAGGUCCGCUGUGAAAACUCGGGGCUUAACCCCGAGCCUGCAGUGGAUACGGGCAGACUAGAGGUAGGUAGGGGAGAAUGGAAUUCCCGGUGUAGCGGUGAAAUGCGCAGAUAUCGGGAGGAACACCGGUGGCGAAGGCGGUUCUCUGGGCCUUACCUGACGCUGAGGAGCGAAAGCGUGGGGAGCGAACAGG